CCUACGGGAGGCAGCAGUGAGGAAUAUUGGUCAAUGGACGAGAGUCUGAACCAGCCAAGUAGCGUGAAGGAUGACUGCCCUAUGGGUUGUAAACUUCUUUUAUAUGGGAAUAAAACGUUCCACGUGUGGGAUUUUGUAUGUACCAUAUGAAUAAGGAUCGGCUAACUCCGUGCCAGCAGCCGCGGUAAUACGGAGGAUCCGAGCGUUAUCCGGAUUUAUUGGGUUUAAAGGGUGCGUAGGCGGAUUGUUAAGUCAGUUGUGAAAGUUUGCGGCUUAACCGUAAAAUUGCUGUUGAAACUGGCAGUCUUGAGUACAGUAGAGGUGGGCGGAAUGCGUGGUGUAGCGGUGAAAUGCUUAGAUAUCACGAAGAACUCCGAUUGCGAAGGCAGUUCACUGGACUGCAACUGACACUGAGGCUCGAAAGUGUGGGUAUCAAACAGGAUUAGAUACCCCAGUAGUC
rnacentral:rRNA from 1 species